UGAAUGUAUUCGUGUCUUUCUAUAAUUUUGUUGUAUUAUGUAACCGUUGCAAUGUUUGGUUAUUAAAUGUUGCAACUUUUGGUUUUCUAUAUAAAGAAUUUUGGAGAGGUUCGUGAAAAAUCGUUAUCGAUUCUUAUAAUUUGCUUCUGCAGCGUGAUCCGUCGUCCAUCGCGCAACUCUCCAACUUCAUCUCCCAAGGCAGAAGAAUCCGUCCAUUUACGUCGCGUCACGACCGCCCUCCAGCAGAACUGCUGCGGCGACGCUGCGUGAUGCCACUGCUAUGGGAUCUUAUUCUACUUCGUUUAAAGAAGAGAAGGACACCUUCACGCCGAGCCAAGUUUUUCCGAUGCAGAGAUGCUGCAGAACUUGAAAUCGGUGAUGAGCGCGAGCGUAUGCCCGAUCAUAAUUCCUGUCGUCUGCGCUUUUGGCGUCUUGAAGAAGUGCGCUCCAAGCAUAGCUAUAAUCAUAGGUUUUGUCUAAGUCAUGCACAAUGCCGCUGUAACCGAGAUUAAUUGAAAGCUCUUAUUCGUAAGACUGAUCAACAAGCCAAUAAUGUGGCGGUGAUUUCAACCGGAAGGGAGAAAAUAGAGAGAUUGUAACGUAUGACAGGCCGAUGACCACAUGGAGGAAGGAGAAGAUAAGUUCCAUUAUUAAGCUUCUGAAAAGUACUAAAGACAAUCUAUGAUUAAGAGAUGAACGGAAAAUACAAUGCAGAAGAACGAAGACGUUGAAUAGAACGCAGAAAUCAGGAAUCUAGAAAAAGAAAAUUGAAAAAAUGGAGAGAAUUUGUAAACUGGUUAUCAAAAAUAUAAACGUAGGAAGAGGUGCGAACCAAGAGUCACAAUUUCAUUAAUGGACACAAGUCACACAAUGCUUCACUACCGACAUAGAGUCGUGUCUUAACCAAACCCUUGGAUUAAAAGGUUGCUAAUCUCAACCGUUUCCUGUUUUCAAAAAGAAAAUUACAAUAAUAUUAUGAAAAAGUACUGCACUAACGACACAAAGCUCCGGUAGCUUCUCCUUUUUUUUUUUAAAUUUGGAAAAAGAUGGAGGAUUCAAGGAAAGGUAAAGAUGAAGAUGAAGAAGA